UUCACCAUUAUACUUCAUUUUCCUGACGUUUUUCGGGGUACAUUUGCAAACAAGUUCGGUUUUGGCCAAUUGUUCAUGUGAUGCAAACACAACAAGACGUCUCUUCGUUCUGAACAAGCGAUGAAUUUACAAUAGAAAGCUAUUAAUAACACCAAACUUGAGCUUUCAAGAUGGAAACAAACUUCCAACAACAUCAACGCCUCUUUGCAAAACCUUUUAACAUUAUUCCAUGGCAGCGUUCAACAGAUCUCAAAUCAGGAUCUUAUCAUCCACGAUUUAAAGUCUACAAUUGCGGAUAUGAAGACACUGUUUGGAAACACAUAUUUGGAAAUUAUGCAUGCAUUUAACAGCCUAGAAAGUCAACAUAACAGCACAGUUCAACAACAAAGUUCAACACAGAUCUUAAUUAAUGAAGAAAUAAAAGGCAUAAAAGACUAAUACAAGCACAUUUCAAACACGAUCAACUCAACUAUGAAACUUGAAUUUACACAACAAAAGGCUGCUCUUCAACGACUGGAAUUUAAGAAAAGAUCACUAGAAGGAAAAUUAAGUUUGAAUAUUGCCUUUACCGCUCUAAUUAAAUACGGCACAACGAUAUCUGGUUUACAAGCAAAAGAAAAAAUUGUAUUUAGUCACAUAUUUACUAACCUGGGAAAUGCGUACGAUUCAUCAACUGGGAUAUUUCGUUGUCCUCAUGAUGGGUUAUAUGGAUUUUUCUUCAACAUUCACACAUCAGGCGAUGAUGUGCUUGCUGAGUUGACAAAAAAUAUUGACUGUCAUUUUGUAUUGGCAUUUUCUGGAGUAGCUACAUCUACGAAGUUAAAUGGAAGUGCAUUUGUUUUACUAUCACUGGUUGCAGGAGAUGAAGUAUGGCUGAGAGCAACUAGAGAUUGCGAUGGAAUGCUAGAAUACCAAGAAAAUUCCUUCUCUGGAUUUCUCUUACGUCCUUAUUAGAUAGUUGAAAAUUUAUUUGAUUCAAACAAUUUGAGAAUUAUGUGAAGUUAUUAAUUUGAAAUUUUCCCAC